rnacentral:rRNA from 1 species
AUUGAACGUUGGCGGCAGGCCUAACACAUGCAAGUCGAGCGGAUGACGGGAGCUUGCUCCUUGAUUCAGCGGCGGACGGGUGAGUAAUGCCUAGGAAUCUGCCUGGUAGUGGGGGACAACGUUUCGAAAGGAACGCUAAUACCGCAUACGUCCUACGGGAGAAAGCAGGGGACCUUCGGGCCUUGCGCUAUCAGAUGAGCCUAGGUCGGAUUAGCUAGUUGGUGGGGUAAUGGCUCACCAAGGCGACGAUCCGUAACUGGUCUGAGAGGAUGAUCAGUCACACUGGAACUGAGACACGGUCCAGACUCCCACGGGAGGCAGCAGUGGGGAAUAUUGGACAAUGGGCGAAAGCCUGAUCCAGCCAUGCCGCGUGUGUGAAGAAGGUCUUCGGAUUGUAAAGCACUUUAAGUUGGGAGGAAGGGCAGUAAGCUAAUACCUUGCUGUUUUGACGUUACCGACAGAAUAAGCACCGGCUAACUCUGUGCCAGCCGCCGCAGUAAGAC